UAGUCCACGCCGUAAACGAUGGUUACUAGCUGUUCGAUUUUCGGAUUGAGUGGCUAAGCGAAAGUGAUAAGUAACCCACCUGGGGAGUACGUUCGCAAGAAUGAAACUCAAAGGAAUUGACGGGGGCCCGCACAAGCGGUGGAGCAUGUGGUUUAAUUCGAUGAUACGCGAGGAACCUUACCAGGGCUUAAAUGUAAGCUGCAUUAAUUAGAGAUAGUUAUUUCUUCGGACUGCUUACAAGGUGCUGCAUGGUUGUCGUCAGCUCGUGCCGUGAGGUGUCAGGUUAAGUCCUAUAACGAGCGCAACCCCUGUUGUUAGUUGCCAUCGAGUAAUGUCGGGAACUCUAGCAAGACUGCCGGUGCAAACCGCGAGGAAGGUGGGGAUGACGUCAAAUCAUCACGGGCCCUUACGUCCUGGGGCCACACACGUGCUACAAUGGUCGGUACAGUGAGCAGCGAUGCAGUGAUGCUGAGCGAAUCUAUAAAACCG
rnacentral:rRNA from 1 species